AAGCGUUGUCCGGAAUUAUGGGGCGUAAAGAGCUCGUAGGCGGUUUGUCGCGUCUGCUGUGAAAACUCGGGGCUUAACUCCGGGCCUGCAGUGGGUACGGGCAGACUAGAGUGCGGUAGGGGAGACUGGAAUUCCUGGUGUAGCGGUGAAAUGCGCAGAUAUCAGGAGGAACACCGGUGGCGAAGGCGGGUCUCUGGGCCGUAACUGACGCUGAGGAGCGAAAGCGUGGGGAGCGAACAGG
rnacentral:rRNA from 1 species